UACGAAGGUCCCGAGCGUUGUUCGGAAUCACUGGGCGUAAAGGGAGCGUAGGCGGCGUGGUAAGUCAGAUGUGAAAUCCCGGGGCUCAACCCCGGAACUGCAUCCGAUACUGCCGUGCUUAGAGGGUUGGAGAGGUAGCUGGAAUUCUUGGUGUAGCAGUGAAAUGCGUGGAUAUCGAGAGGAACACUCGUGGCGAAAGCGAGUUACUGGACAAUUACUGACGCUGAGGCUCGAAGGCUAGGGGAGCAAAAGGG
rnacentral:rRNA from 1 species